UACGAAGGGGGCUAGCGUUGCUCGGAAUCACUGGGCGUAAAGCGCACGUAGGCGGAUUGCUAAGUCAGGGGUGAAAUACCGGGGCUCAACCCCGCGUAUGCCCAGGAUACUGUCAGACUGGAGACACGUAGAGGCAAGCGGAAUUUCGGGUGUAGCGGUGGAAUGCGUAGAUAUCCGAAAGAACACCGGAGGCGAAGGCGGCUUGCUGGGCGUGAUCUGACGCUGAGGCGCGAAAGCGUGGGGAGCGAACAGG
rnacentral:rRNA from 1 species